rnacentral:rRNA from 1 species
UACGUAGGGGGCAAGCGUUAUCCGGAAUCACUGGGCGUAAAGGGUGCGUAGGUGGUUUUGUAAGUCUGAGGUAAAAGGUCACGGCUCAACCGUGGUAAGCCUUGGAAACUGCAAAACUUGAAUGCAGGAGAGGAAAGUGGAAUUCCUAGUGUAGCGGUGAAAUGCGUAGAUAUUAGGAGGAACAUCCAUGGCGAAGGCAGCUUUCUGGACUGUUAUUGACACUGAGGCACGAAAGCGUGGGGAGCAAACAGG